rnacentral:rRNA from 1 species
CAGUAGCCGCGGGAAUACAGAGGGUGCGAGCGUUAAUCGGAUUUACUGGGCGUAAAGCGUGCGUAGGCGGCUUCUUAAGUCGGAUGUGAAAUCCCUGAGCUUAACUUAGGAAUUGCAUUCGAUACUGGGAAGCUAGAGUAUGGGAGAGGAUGGUAGAAUUCCAGGUGUAGCGGUGAAAUGCGUAGAGAUCUGGAGGAAUACCGAUGGCGAAGGCAGCCAUCUGGCCUAAUACUGACGCUGAGGUACGAAAGCAUGGGGAGCAAACAGGAUUAGAUACCCCUGUAGUCCCUGUCUCUUAUCA